GCCGCCAUGUUGUCUCCGGGCCACUUCCGCGUUUCUGGCGCGUGGUCUUGCAUUUCCUACUUGGUCCUGUUCGUGGCGCCGCGCCUCCGGGUGUUGGGGAGUCCGGGAUGAUGGGGAAUCCGGGGCUCGCCCUAGUCGCGGGGACACCGCCUUCCAGGAGCUGUCCCCAGGCAAACUCACAGACAUCUUCAAAGAGCCUUCUUGGACAUUCUGCUUUUUGCUCCUCAUAACAGGCUUCGCCUUCAAACUGCUGAGAGCUGCUUGGUGGACCUCGUCUCUCAAUUUGCCCUUCCCACUAAACCUGUCUUCCCCCAACAGUGGGCUUUCUGGUCAGCAUUUCAGAAUGUCUCAAACCGUAGGUCCUUCCCACAGCCCCAAAUCUCAGCAAAUGACCAGUCUCUUGCUUCAAGCUAUUAAAUGGAUGCUGUCUGACAGCCCUCCCUUGAAACCUGCAAA
ensembl:lncRNA ATP8B1-AS1 ATP8B1 antisense RNA 1